CGAGAGUACUACAUACCACGUCUCUCUGUCAUCAGGUAUCUCUAAAGAUUCCAUCGAGUCAGCAGACAAGACACAAGUUCCGACUGUAAAAUCAGAAGCCCCCAUGAAAAGGUUCCCAUCUGUUUCCCAGAUAGAUCACAAACAGCAACUUGUAUCUGAAGAGAGGUAUGUAGCCAUAACAAGUGCUAACGACAACAACCAGGAACCUAUCUACAUGAAUCAGACUGAGAUAAUAGUGAAGAAAGAAUCAAAUUGUAAAGAACGUC